CCUACGGGGGACAGCAGUGGGGAAUAUUGCACAAUGGGGGAAACCCUGAUGCAGCGACGCCGCGUGAGUGAAGAAGUAAUUCGUUAUGUAAAGCUCUAUCAGCAGGGAAGAAAAUGACGGUACCUGAGUAAUAAGCCCCGGCUAACUACGUGCCAGCAGCCGCGGUCAUACGGAGGGGGCAAGCGUUAUCCGGAUUUACUGGGUGUAAAGGGAGCGUAGACGGCAGUGCAAGUCUGGGGUGAAAGGCGGGGGCUCAACCCCCGGACUGCUCUGGAAACUGUACGGCUGGAGUGCAGGAGAGGGAAGUAGAAUUCCAAGUGUAGCGGUGAAAUGCGUAGAUAUUAGGAGGAACACCAGUGGCGAAGGCGGCUUACUGGACUGUAACUGACGUUGAGGCUCGAAAGCGUGGGGAGCAAACAGGAUUAGAUACCCCUGUAGUC
rnacentral:rRNA from 1 species